CAGAACGCUGUGUUACAUUUUUUAACAGCCUUAUUGAAAUAUAACUGACAUACAGUUCAUACAUUUAAAGAGCAUAAUUUUUGGUAUAUUAUGUUAUUGAUUUUUUUUAAAAUUAUGAUAAAGUAUAUAUCUCGUAAAAUUUGCUGAUUUAAGCGGUUUUAUUUUUAAAAUGUUUACCUAUUUUCAUCUACUUGAAAGGCAAAUUAGUAGUGGGAGAAAGAGUCAGAGAUCUUUCAUUUGCUGGUUCACUCCCCAAAUGUCUUCUCUCUGUAACUCUGCCUUUCAAAUAAAUAAAUAAAAUCUUAACAACAACGCUGAGUUCACCAUCUGAGAAAUAGAACACUUCUUAUUGCUGCAGGCCCGUAGGAAAAUUGGCCAGACCCAAAUCAACCUCCCUGUACAGAGAGAAGUUUGAGAAUGUAUGGAGCUGGGGUAAUUGGGGUGGAACGGGGUGGACACAGAACUACAGGGCAGGAUAGGUGCAGAGGAAAGGUGGGAGUAGGGCGAAGUCCUCUGAUCAUGCGCCUUGACAAAUCCUGUCUUUCCAUGCAUAGUGUGUUCAAAGAUGGCUCGGGAAUGGCACUGGAGGCGUGUCAUGUAACAUAAUAGCAAACCACAAGGUAACUCUCCCGUGUCUUAAUCAGUCUGCGACAGGCUCCAGUUACAAGGUUGGCUUCAGCUGGUUCCCUCUGGUUUUAUCAGGGACCCUGAAAAGACAGCUCAGAGGUUUUUGUUUUUUGCAGAAGCAGCUAUUAUAGGAUGGUGAUUUACUCUGCAACAGGCUUCCCGCUUCCCCAAGGGACUACAAAGCAAACACGUGGCCAGCCCACUCAACCCCCGAGUAUGUCAGGAGCCGGGAAGGCUGCCAACAGCCCCAUUCCCCGAUGCCCUGUAAGUGGGCUUCCCCCUAUGGUAGAAGCGGAUUUCUGUCUGUCACUCAGAGUCGCACUACAUGCUCCAUGGACAACUGUGCUAGCUCUUUCAGAGUAAGGGCCCUGGGGUCUUUCUCUUUAUGGCUCUCAAGCCUCGGGCACAAUUCCUGCACCAUGAUGGAUGAAGACAUUACCAACAGGCAGCAUUCACUGAUCACUUGCCGUAUUGCCAGCAUUGCACCAGAUGUUUUGCAUGUGUUAUCAAAAUUUGUUAAAGCAAUCAUUUCUUUUUGGAACAUCAAGCUCUCUUACAGAUAGUAGGAAUGAGUUCUAGUGUUCGAUUGCCCAGCAGGAUGACUAUAGUUAGCAAUAAUAUAUUGUGUAUGUCAAAAUAGCUAAAAGGGAGGAUUUUGAAUGUUCCCACCACAAGAAAUGAUAAACAUUUGAGGUGUUAGAUAUGCUAAUCACUCCAAUUUGUUAUUACACAUUGUAUACAUAUCUCAAAACAUCAUACUGCACCCCAUAAACAUGUACAGUUAUUAUGCAUUAAUUAGAAAUGUUUAAAGCCACUAAAUUCAAGAAAUAACAAUAAACAAUGAUGAAAACAAUCA
rnacentral:lncRNA from 1 species